AGCUUAAAGUUUUAUUUUAGGUGAUACCUGCCCAGUGCUAAAUUGUAAACGGCCGCAGUACCUUGACUGUGCUAAGGUAGCAUAAUCAGUUGGCUUUUAAAUGGAGUCGGGAAUGAAUGGGAUAAUAGGGUUAAGCUGUCUCCAAUAUAUUAAGUUUAAUUUGACUAUUAGGUGAAAAUGCCUACUAAAAGAAAAAAGACGAGAAGACCCUAGGAGUUUUUAUCAAAGAGUUAUGUUAAGUUGACUCACCAUUUUUGUUGGGGCGACAUAGGAGGACCAACUCUAACCUCCUUUAUAUAUGUGCCGACUGUGUAUGAAAAAUUAAACUACCCUAGGGAUAACAGCGUAAUUUUAGUAUAAGUUUGCGACCUCGAUGUUGGACUAGGAAUUUGGUGGACUA
rnacentral:rRNA from 1 species